UAACCAGAAAGCCACGGCUAACUACGUGCCAGCAGCCGGGUAAUACGUAGGUGGCAAGCGUUAUCCGGAAUUAUUGGGCGUAAAGCGCGCGCAGGUGGUUUCUUAAGUCUGAUGUGAAAGCCCACGUCUCAACCGUGGAGUGUCAUUGGAAACUGGGAGACUUGAGUGCAGAAGAGGAAAGUGGAAUUCCAUGUGUAGCGGUGAAAUGCGUAGAGAGAUGGAGGAACACCAGUGGCGAAGGAGACUUUCUGGUCUGUAACUGACACUGAGGCGCGAAAGCGUGGGGAGCAAACAGGAUUAGAUACCCUGGUAGUCCACGCCGUACACGAUGAGUGCUAAGUGUUAGAGGAUUUACGCCCUUUAGUGCUGACGUUAACGCAUUAAGCACUCCGCCUGGGGAGUACGGCGGCAAGGCUUAAACUCAAAGGAAUU
rnacentral:rRNA from 1 species